CCUACGGGUGGCAGCAGUGGGGGAUAUUGCACAAUGGGGGAAACCCUGAUGCAGCGACGCCGCGUGGGUGAAGGAGUAUUUCGGUACGUAAAGCUCUAUCAGCAGGGAAGAAAAUGACGGUACCUGACUAAGAAGCCCCGGCUAACUACGUGCCAGCAGCCGCGGUAAUACGUAGGGGGCAAGCGUUAUCCGGAUUUCAUGGGUGUAAAGGGAGCGUAGACGGCAGCGCAAGUCUGGAGUGAAAGCCCAGGGCUUAACCAUGGAACUGCUUUGGAAACUGUGCAGCUAGAGUGCAGGAGAGGCAAGCGGAAUUCCUAGUGUAGCGGUGAAAUGCGUAGAUAUUAGGAGGAACACCAGUGGCGAAGGCGGCCUACUGGACUGUAACUGACGUUGAGGCCCGAAGGCGUGGGGAGCAAACAGGAUUAGAUACCCCAGUAGUC
rnacentral:rRNA from 1 species